rnacentral:rRNA from 1 species
UAAGGAAAGGCUGGGCGGGCAGGCCUAACACAUGCAAAUUCUCGAACGGUGAGUCACAGAGAAGCUUGCUCUCGGGUGACGAGUGGCGGACGGGUGAGUAAUGUCUGGGAAACUGCCUGAUGGAGGGGGAUAACUACUGGAAACGGUAGCUAAUACCGCAUAAUGUCGCAAGACCAAAGAGGGGGACCUUCGGGCCUCUUGCCAUCAGAUGUGCCCAGAUGGGAUUAGCUAGUAGGUGGGGUAACGGCUCACCUAGGCGACGAUCCCUAGCUGGUCUGAGAGGAUGACCAGCCACACUGGAACUGAGACACGGUCCAGACUCCUACGGGAGGCAGCAGUGGGGAAUAUUGCACAAUGGGCGCAAGCCUGAUGCAGCCAUGCCGCGUGUAUGAAGAAGGCCUUCGGGUUGUAAAGUACUUUCAGCGGGGAGGAAGGUGUUGUGGUUAAUAACCGCAGCAAUUGACGUUACCCGCAGAAGAAGCACCGGCUAACUCCGUGCCAGCAGCCGCGGUAAUACGGAGGGUGCAAGCGUUAAUCGGAAUUACUGGGCGUAAAGCGCACGCAGGCGGUCUGUCAAGUCGGAUGUGAAAUCCCCGGGCUCAACCUGGGAACUGCAUUCGAAACUGGCAGGCUGGAGUCUUGUAGAGGGGGGUAGAAUUCCAGGUGUAGCGGUGAAAUGCGUAGAGAUCUGGAGGAAUACCGGUGCGAAGGCGGCCCCUGGACAAAGACUGACGCUCAGGUGCGAAAGCGUGGGGGAGCAACAGGAUUAGAUACCCUGGUAGUCCACGCCGUAACGAUGUCGAUUUGGAGGUUGUGCCCUUGAGGCGUGCUUCCGGAGCUAACGCGUUAAUCCGACCGCCUGGGGAGUACGGCCCGCAAGGUUAAU